GCCCUGGUGGUCUAGUGGUAUGAUUGUCGCUUCGGGUUACUCCCUUUCACGAUCACGUGAUUGUGACAGGUCCCGGGUUCAAAUCCCGGCUAGGGCC